rnacentral:tRNA from 1 species
GCACUCGUAGCCAAGCGGCUGAAGGCACUGGUCUGCAAAACCAGUGAGCGCAAGCUCCACGUCAGUUCGAAUCUGACCGAGUGCUCCA